UACAGAGGUCUCGAGCGUUAGGCGGAAUCACUGGGCUUAAAGCGUGUGUAGGCGGGUCGGUAAGUACCUUGUGAAAUCCCACGGCUCAACCGUGGAACUGCUGGGUAUACUGCCGAUCUUGUGCAACCUAGGGGCGAGCGGAACAGAUGGUGGAGCGGUGAAAUGCGUAGAUAAUCAUCUGGAACGCCAAUGGUGAAAACAGCUCGCUGGGGGUUUGCAGACGCUG
rnacentral:rRNA from 1 species